rnacentral:rRNA from 1 species
UACGUAGGUGGCGAGCGUUGUCCGGAUUUACUGGGCGUAAAGAGCGUGUAGGCGGCUUGGUAAGUCCGCUGUGAAAGUCCAGGGCUCAACCCUGGAAUGCCGGUGGAAACUGUCAAGCUUGAGUCCGGAAGAGGCGAGUGGAAUUCCUGGUGUAGCGGUGAAAUGCGCAGAUAUCAGGAGGAACACCGAUGGCGAAGGCAGCUCGCUGGGACGGUACUGACGCUGAGGCGCGAAAGCGUGGGGAGCAAACAGG